rnacentral:pre_miRNA from 1 species
CAGUGCAAGAUGGAGAAGCAGGGCACGUGCAUUACUAUCUAACACCCACUUCUUUCUCUCUCUAAAAACAAAUAUUAAAGAGAUAGCGAGAGAAAGAAGUUUGUUUUUUUCCGAUCAAAAAAAAGAAGAAGAAAGGGGUUUGUUUUCUAACAACUUAGUUAGUUAGUUCUUCAUGUGCCCAUCUUUUCCAUCAUGCCCGC